CCCAACCCCAGACUCCAGAACUCAUCGGGCUCCUGGUCAUCCGUCACUCCCUUCCAGCCACCGCCUGCUACUGCCGCCGUCGGAACUUCCAACUUCAAACAGCCACCACCUUCUCCCUCACUUCCCCUCCAUCAUGCAGCGGCCAUCGCAACCUUCCUAACCCUCCAUCGCGCUGUUCCCUUGCAAACGUGGAAGCCUCCAUCGCGCAACCACGGUCCUGCCGACGCCAGCUCUGUUCCACCGUAGCCACUGUCCCGUUCCAAAGCCUGUUCGAAGUUGCUCUUGUCUCGGUCUCUCCCUCUUGCAUGCUCUGUUUAAGACUUUAAGGCUUCUAGCUUCUAGUUUCAAUAGGAAGCAGAUAUAAAAAGCAGACCUUUCAAGUUUGUGCGAGUUGCUGUCCAUGUCCUGAGAUACAGAAAUGCAAUAUUUGGCAUGGAAUAGGUGGCAUUGGCAGAAUAAAGACUUCCUCCGGCGAAGAAGAAGGGUUAAGGGUGAGAGAGAGAAAGACAGAACGAAGCAGAAAAGAAAACACGACGGAGGGAGAAGGAGAAGAGGGUGGUGACGAACCCACGUCCACUGUAGAACCGCAUCACAACCGCUCCUUUGCAGCCGGGCAGCAGGUGCUGCGAAUGUCAUCAUUACGACGUUGUUGUACGUAGGGGAUUUGGACCCUGAGGUUGACCAGAGUGGUUUCGGUUCAACUAGAAAUGAGGUACUUAAAAUCCUUCAUGUUCCUUUCCUAUCUUUUUCUUUUUGGUUUCCUGGAAUUUUUGUUUGUGCUGCAAAAAGUUUGCAACUUCUCCAAUUGUAAUUUAGAUUAUAAGUGUGUAAUGAAUUUUUGUGCAAUUUUUGGUCUCUCUACCAAAAAAGAACAACAGGGGAAGAAUAAAUUUGUGUGGUAUGAACGCCUUCUGUGGGGUUGAAGCCUGAGAUCAGAAUCUCUCUUAUUUGCCUCUGUGGGGUUGAUAAGGAGAAGUAUAUUCUUUUAUUUGAUCACUUUAUCAUUAAUUGUUUUGAGAAAUUAUCCAGGCACCUAUCCACUCAAUUGCAUCAAAUGCUGGAGCUAAGGGUGCUGUAGUUGUUGUAAAACUAUUGGAACAAGACAAUCCUGAUCUAAGAAAACUAUUGGACCAAAUACACUGGAGUUUCAAUGGAGCAAUUAUAAGAGUGAUUAUGAUUGUCUCACUUUUUUCACUGGAGUAUCGUUUUUUUUUUCAUUAUCAUUGUCUCACUUUUUUAUUUUUACUCCAUUGUUGUAAUGUAUAGUCUGCUGUGAUGGAACUGAUGGCAAAGUAACAUGCUAAAAUACCUGCUGGAAGACUGGGAAGAAGACUGCUACAUAUCAAGACAGUGUCAAGCUUUACAAGGAAGAAUUUGAAAAAGCAAAAUUAGCUCUGACUAAGGAUGAGGCUGAACUUCCAAAAUAAGAAAGCAAACUUAAAAUAUUGUGCAAUAGCUAAAAGAAAGAAAGAGAAAGUAGGACGAGAAAAAUCAUAAAGAAAUUGCUAAGGCUGUACAGCUUCAAGAUUUUGAUCAGAUUCAUCAUACAUAUGCUAGCAUGUUGGAAUCUGAAUUAAAUAUGAUCUACUCAUAGUCUCAUACCAGCACUGGGUUUAGUAGGUAUCACUGAGGAAUGCAACUCAUGAGUUGUGUUAGUUUUUUCUUAUUUGAUUUUAUUAGCUUAAUAUGUUUUUCUUGAAUUCUAUUGUUUGGAUUUUGGAAAAUAUAAAAUGGUAAUAGAAUUUUAUGAUUUGUUUAUAGAAUUUUAUGAUAUUGUCUUAAGCAUGCUUUUUUAUGUGUUUUAGGCAUUUCUUGCUUUUAAUCACUUUUGUUGUCAUUACUUGAUCAAAUGGAAAUGCUCUUGAUUUCUCCUUAUUAUGAACUAUGAAGAUUAUGAUUGAUGUCAAAAAUAUUUUGCUAACUGCAUAAUUUGCUAUAUCUAACACUUCUGAGUAAAAAUUUUUUUCCUUUCAAUAGAUCUCCAAAGUUGAAUUAUUUUUUAAAAAUUAUAUAUUUUUGUAUAAUCUGCUUCCUUUUUUCUUUUCUUUUUCCCCUCAUAGUUGAUCCGAUAAUUAUUUUUGGCAGGGAGUGUAAGUGGAGGAGGGAGUGUUCCUCAUACUUAAAAUUCUUCAUGUUUUUCUUCCUAUUUUUUUUACUGUUUUGGACAUUCUAUAACAGAUAAUUUUGGAGCAAUGAAGAUCAUUAAGUAAUGCAAAAAAAAAUUCUAUCGCGCAUACCCUUCCAGUUUCACUUAAUAACAUUGGAGGUGAAUUAAUGGGAGCGUGUUCUGUAUUAAUGGGAAACUUUUGGGAUACACAUACUACUGAAACUCUGUUUCAGUUUGGGUAGGAGAUAUAUUGUUAGUUGGAGAUGAUCUCUUGAUGUCUAAUGCAAAACGCAUUGAGAAAGCAGUACUAGGGUAUGUGUGUAAUGUUCUUCUUCUUAAGGGAUUAGUGAGGGAAUUCCAGUGCAGCUUGCUCAUGAUGGCUUGAAAGUCCUGGCAAACUUAUAAGGUUGUGUUUGCUGAAGAAGAUAGAAUGGGAGUGGGUAAAAAAUGUGGUGAAAUCUUUAGAUUGGUUAAUCGAAAGUCACUUUGGAAUACUUCCAACCUUUAAAAGCAUACAUAUGCGAGGAUUUUGAAGAAAAUCUGGUGCAACUUCCCGACUAAAUAUGCUACAAGCUCCAACGGUUUAAAGAAACAUUGUGCUUUUCCUGGAAAAAAAAUUAGUGACUUUUCCAAUUAAGAAAAGGCUAAUUUCUUCAGGGAUGACUUUGAACACACUUUAAUUAACACCUCAUUCUUUGUUUUUUUCUCAUUUUUCUUUUGGUUAGAUAUCUACCUUAUGUCGAUUUAUUCUCAAGGUACUUGCUUACAUGGUGUUGAUGAGCAUUGUUCUUUUGUUUUUGUACUUUUUUUAUAUUUUGAUAUGUCCUCAAUUUUUUUAUUCAAUUUUUUAUUCAAUUGUAAAAAAAUAUAAAGUCAAGAUUAUUUUCAAACUGAGGAUGGACCUCAAGAAUGUGAUAUAUCUCCAUUAUACCAUAAAGAGAUCAGUUCAUGGUCCAAAAUUAUGUAUAAAUGGUCCUUUUGGUUCCACUUCUCAAGACCAUGUAAAGUAUGACAUUGUGGUACUGUCUACUGAUUGGCUUUGGUGUUGCACCCACCACUUUCAUUAGCAUUCGAAAAUAUGUAGCUACUACACAUUGAUCAUGUUGGGGCUUUCAUAUAUGUAGUCUGCUUUCUAUUUUUUUUUAUGUUAUACUGCAUAGUACUAAAACUCAAUUUGAAGACCAUCUUUUCCAUUAAGUAAACACCAAAAUUUUGAUAUUUUAC